UGGGGGAAGUUUUCCGUCAAUGGGCGAAAGCCUGACGGAGCAAUGCCGCGUGGAGGUGGAAGGCCUACGGGUCGUCAACUUCUUUUCUCGGAGAAGAAACAAUGACGGUAUCUGAGGAAUAAGCAUCGGCUAACUCUGUGCCAG
rnacentral:rRNA from 1 species